UACGUAGGUGGCAAGCGUUGUCCGGAUUUACUGGGCGUAAAGCGCACGUAGGCGGCUUUGCAAGUCGGAUGUGAAAUCCCUCGGCUUAACCAAGGAAGUGCAUCCGAAACUGCAGAGCUUGAGUACUUAAGAGGAUCGCGGAAUUCCCGGUGUAGAGGUGAAAUUCGUAGAUAUCGGGAGGAACACCAGUGGCGAAGGCGGCGAUCUGGGAAGAUACUGACGCUGAGGUGCGAAAGCGUGGGGAGCAAACAGG
rnacentral:rRNA from 1 species